rnacentral:rRNA from 1 species
UACAGAGGGUGCAAGCGUUGUUCGGAAUUAUUGGGCGUAAAGCGCGUGUAGGCGGCUUUGCAAGUCGGGUGUGAAAGCCCUCAGCUCAACUGAGGAAGUGCGCCCGAAACUGCAGAGCUUGAGUGCCGGAGAGGGUGGCGGAAUUCCCCAAGUAGAGGUGAAAUUCGUAGAUAUGGGGAGGAACACCAGUGGCGAAGGCGGUUGCCUGGAGCUUUGCUGACGCUGAGGUGCGAAAGCGUGGGGAGCAAACAGG